rnacentral:rRNA from 1 species
AUUGGACGCUGGCGGCAGGCCUAACACAUGCAAGUCGGACGGUAGCACAGAGAGCUUACUCUUGGGUGACGAGUGGCGGACGGGUGAGUAAUGUCUGGGGAUCUGCCCGAUAGAGGGGGAUAACCACUGGAAACGGUGGCUAAUACCGCAUAACGUCGCAAGACCAAAGAGGGGGACCUUCGGGCCUCUCACUAUCGGAUGAACCCAGAUGGGAUUAGCUAGUAGGCGGGGUAAUGGCCCACCUAGGCGACGAUCCCUAGCUGGUCUGAGAGGAUGACCAGCCACACUGGAACUGAGACACGGUCCAGACUCCUACGGGAGGCAGCAGUGGGGAAUAUUGCACAAUGGGCGCAAGCCUGAUGCAGCCAUGCCGCGUGUAUGAAGAAGGCCUUCGGGUUGUAAAGUACUUUCAGCGGGGAGGAAGGCGGUGAGGUUAAUAACCUUGCCGAUUGACGUUACCCGCAGAAGAAGCACCGGCUAACUCUGUGCCAGCCGCCGCGGUAA